rnacentral:rRNA from 1 species
CACUCGCUGCGCGCCGCCGGAGAUACCCACUCUGAUUUUCGACGUUUCUUCUGAGUGGUACAGCAAAUAAUCCAAACUUUUAACAACGGAUCUCUUGGUUCUGGCAUCCAUGAAGAACGCAGCGAAAUGCGAUAAGUAAUGGGAAUUGCAGAAUUCAGUGAAUCAUCCAAUCUUUGAACGCACAUUGCGCCCGCCAGCAUUCUGGCGGGCAUGCCUGUUCCAGCGUCAUUUCAACCCUCAAGCUCUGCUUGGUGUUGGGGCCCUACAGCUGAUGUAGGCCCUCAAAAGUAGUGGCCGACCCUCCCCGAACCUCCCUUGCGUAAUAACUUUACGUCUCGCACUUGGAUUCGGGAGGACUCUUUGCGUAAAACCCCCCCAUUUUUCAAAGGUUGACCUCGGAUCAGGUAGGAAUACCCGCUGAACUUUAGCAUAUCAUUAAAGCGGGAGA